AGCACCUCUCCUAAACAGGUGUUCUACUCUGCUAUCCAGCACCUCUCCUAAACAGGUGUUCUACUCUUCUAUCCAGCACCUCUCCUAAACAGGUGUGCAUUUCUUUCACCUCGAGGUUAUUAUCUAUAAUAUCUCCUAAGUUAAUGCAUUAAAUCUUUUUGCAAAUCCUCUGAGCUGAAGCCUGGGCAUUAACAUUGGGAACGACAGCAAGUCUUCAGGUCUCAGGCUGAAGGUUAUUCAUUAGUUCAUUGUGGUUCUCCAAAAAACUUCCAAGAAGUGAUGAAAGCUUGAGAGACAUCGGCUGAGAAACAGGUAGAACAGGGAAGGAUAUCCAUGGCUGCUAUCCCUCAAUCAGUUUUUUUCCUGUUGGAUGAGAUGAGAAGAGGUGUACGUGACUCUCUCUCUGAACAAUGUUGGGAAAGCAGAAGAUUAGAAUGUAAGGGGUUUAUGAUUGUGGCUUAAAGGCCCAGAGCAGUCAAAAACGUGAUUUACCUGUCUUUUAUAUGCACUCACAGGCCAGUUUAUUAGGUACACCCCUCCCCCCGUUCACAAAAAUUAAACGCUCAUACAGACAGUGAGUCACGUGGUCGUGGCUUGCUAUAUAAAGCAGGCAGACAGGCAUCGAGGCAUUCAGUUACUGUUCGGUGUUAGAAUGGGCAAAAAGCGACUUUGAGAGUGGUGUGAUCGUUGGUGCCAGGCGUGCCGGUUCCUGUAUCUCAUGCAAAAACGAAAACGGCUCGUUGAUGAGCGGUCAAAGGAAAAUGGCAAGAAUUGUGCAAGCUAACAGGCGGGCCACAAACAGAC
rnacentral:lncRNA from 1 species